AUGUACAUGCCUACAACAUACCAUUAAUGCACUAGAUCCCAUUAUAACUCCGCAGUUAAGCAUGCUUAGGCUAGAUUAGUACUGGGAUGGGUGACCACCCACAAAGUCCUAGUGUUUUACAUU
rfam:Picea glauca, whole genome shotgun sequence.